rnacentral:rRNA from 1 species
GAUCAGGACAUCCCAAUGGUGCAGAAGCUAUUAAAGGUUCGUUUGUUCAACGAUUAAAGUCCUACGUGAUCUGAGUUCAGACCGGAGUAAUCCAGGUCGGUUUCUAUCUAUUUACGAUUUCUCCCAGUACGAAAGGAUAAGAGAAAUGGAGCCUCCUUUACACAAGCGCUUCAAAAAUAAUUAAUGAAUACAUCUCAAUGUAAUAUAUCCGUACUAUUAACCCCAAGAUAAGGGUUUAUUAGGGUGGCAGAGCCCGGAAAUUGCGUAAGACUUAAACCCUUGUAAU